rnacentral:rRNA from 1 species
UGAAUACGAGAUGCUACGGCGUCGAAGCAGUCUAUGUCAUACUUCCAAGAAAAGCUUGCACUGUCAUAAACAAAUAAUGCCUGUACCAUAACCGACACAGGUGGGUAGGUAGAGUAUACUAAGGGGCGCGAGAUAACUCUCUCUAAGGAACUCGGCAAAAUGACUCCGUAACUUCGGGAGAAGGAGUGCCUUAUUUUUAUAAGGUUGCAAUAACAAGAUCCAAGCAACUGUUUACCAAAAACACAGGUCUCCGCUAAGUCGUAAGACGAUGUAUGGGGGCUGACGCCUGCCCAGUGCCAGAAGGUUAAAGAAGUUGGUUAGCAUCCGCGAAGCUGAUAACUGAAGCCCUGGUGAACGGCGGCCGUAACAAUAACGGUCCUAAGGUAGCGAAAUUCCUUGUCGGGUAAGUUCCGACCCGCACGAAAGGCGUAAUGAUUUGGAUACUGUCUCGGAGAGGGGCUCGGUGAAAUAGACUUGUCUGUGAAGAUGCGGACUACCUGCACCUGGACAGAAAGACCCUAUGAAGCUUUACUGUAACUUGAAAUUGAAAUUGGACUUUACUUGCGCAGUAUAGGUGGGAGGCAUUGAAAAUAUUCUUGCGGGAUUAUUGGAGCCAUCAGUGAGAUAACACUCUUGUAAUGUUAGAUUUCUAACUUUGUAUCAUUAUCUGGUCAAAGAACAGUUUCAGGCGGGCAGUUUGACUGGGGCGGUCGCCUCCUAAACGGUAACGGAGGCGCACAAAGGUUUCCUCUGAACGGGUAGAAAUCGUAUCUAGAGUGUAAAGGCAUAAGGAAGCUUGACUGUGAGACCUACAAGUCGAGCAGGGACGAAAGUCGGUCUUAGUGAUCUGACGGUGCUGAGUGGAAAGGCCGUCACUCAACGGAUAAAAGUUACUCUAGGAUAACAGGCUGAUCUCCCCCAAGAGUUCACAUCGACGGGGAGGUUUGGCACCUCGAUGUCGGCUCAUCGCAUCCUGGGGCGGUAGUACGUCCCAAGGGUUGGGCUGUUCGCCCAUGAAAGCGGUACGCGAGCUGGGUUCAGAACGUCGUGAGACAGUUCGGUCCAUAUCCGGUGUAGGCGUUAGAAUAUUGAGAGGAGCCUUCUCUAGUACGAGAGGACCGAGAAGGACAUACCUCUGGUGUACCAGUUAUCGUGCCAACGGUAAACGCUGGGUAGCUAUGUAUGGAGUGGAUAACCGCUGAAAGCAUCUAGGUGGGAAGCCCACCUCAAGAUAAG